GCCAGUUCCCCUCCCCUGCCCGCCUAAGGAGGCUGGAGGUUUGAGGCACUGAGGAUGCCCCGUGCGGACUUAGGCAGAGCUGUGCGCCGGCUCCAGAAGGUCACCUCGCCCGCAGCUCAGCCCUGGAUGGCUGCCCUUCCUGGAAACCUUAGGAUACCGCUGCUGGCUCCAGCUGCCCCCUCCCUGUGAGUCAGCUCCUUCAAGCCACAGCCCGCCAGCUGGCUUCCAAGGCACCAAGGAUGCAGCUCCUGACCUGAUGCCUCUCAGCUCCAGGAUUUCCCAGGACCCCUCAGCUGCCCUGGACCCUGCUGCUACUGCCGUCACCUCUGCACCUUGUCCCCAGCUGGGCUGCUGACUCAGAUAUGCCAGGCUCCUAUGCUAUCAUUUCAACUCCCAGGCUCAGCUCACUCCAGGGGCCUAGUUGGAGAAUGGAUUUCCCCAGCUGAAGGACCCUUCAGCUAUACCAGUGGAGAAACGGAGGCGCAGAGAGUCCGUGAGUGGUCUAAGGACACAUGCACGCAAAAUUGAGGCCCAGGCAGGGCUCGCCUCUU
rnacentral:antisense_RNA from 1 species